AAGACAAACUAGAUAAGAUGCAGAUUGGAUCAGGCGAAGAUGUGAAUGACCUCAACUAUGAUUAUGACAAUGAACAGUGCGUAGCACGUGGUGGAAAUUAAUAGAUGGAAUGGUGGACAACGGAAGGGCUAACGAUGCAGCGGCGGCGUGACUAAUGUGAAAAGAACUCGAAACUCUAAACGAACUAGACACUAAGACCAGCAACUGACACGACGAUGCAACCGAUAAUUCAACUAUGCAAGCAACGAAUAGAAAAUUGCAAAGGCUUAGACUGGCUUGGAUAAAGGAUGAACAGAUCUAACUUUUUUUGUGGCUUUUUCAUGAACUAUAGGUAUGAAUGACAGAUGCGAUCUAAACUAUGAAAAACUGUAAAAUCUCACCGAGCAACUUGAAAACUGAUACCACUUGAUAGAGGCGAGGGUGUCCCGAUCUUUCGAUGAGAUGAUAACUAUCGAUUUGGUGGAGACGACUUUGAUGAUCCGACUACAAACGUGCACGACGUUGCGCCUUAGCAAUCGCUAAACCAAUCUCCUGAGGUUACUGAUGAUGCCGGAAGCACGGUCAGCCUGACCACGAAGGUCUAUUCCUGCAAGCAACUGAAGAACGAGCAAGAAUAUGAUAAAGCAAUCUGAAUAUUGCAAAUAUAUAUGAGGUAUUGAUAAUGGUGGGGAUCCGUAAGCGGUCUUGGUCUGGUCGUUGGACACAAACGAAGUACACGAAGUUGCAAUGGCUAACUUUUAACUAAACAAAUCCCAAGGAAAAGCUACUAGAUGGAUCUACUUAUAUAGGAGCAAGGGGUGGCGGCCAAGGAGGUGGGAGGACGUCCCAAGGCAGCCUAAAACUAAAUCUAGGUCGUACAAGGCCAAUGGGCCCAAGUGGAGGUGAUGUAACACCUUUGGACUUGUAGUUUGACUCGGAUUCUGCUGCAGCAUCAGAUUGUUUCGUCCACAACUCAACGCUCCGGACGAAUUUGAAGGUGAUUCCAAUUGGGUUGGAAAGUGCACGAAAUGUAAUUUCCAACAAAAAAAGAAUCACCCAAUUCGGAGUCCGUAUGAAAAACUUGUGUGUGUUUUGAGUCAGGUGUGUCUGUGCAGUCCGAAUCUGAAUCCAGAACGUGAGAGACUUGGACUCUAUCUUCUCUUGGGCCAAAAGUGACGUGAGAGAACUUUUUGGACAGCAAAUAAACAUCUCUUUCUUCCUUAUCUUCAUAUGUGGAUUGUACAAAUGUCCCAUACACCUGCAAUUAGACAAAACACAAAAGUGUGUGAAGUAUUUUUGUUCUGGAUAACAUAAAUAGAUUAUUGAAUAGUUUGCACUAGAAAUCACCUGACAAAUAUGCAUAUAUGCAAUAUUUUUUGUCAUAUCCAAGGUAGUCAUGUCCUCAUCACAGUAACAAGAGUCUCUAAAAUAGGUGGUGUGCUCAAAUCAACAGGUAACUCAACACAUGAUGCAUUCAAGUUAACUAGGCAUGCUUCAUUCUCAUGUGAAGUUAUAUCAUCAAGACCUUUACUGUUACCUCGCAGAGAUGUAGCUGAUGUAGAUACGGACGUUGACAAUGUACCAUACUCUUGAGAUGAUAUCGCGCUCACAAUCCGAGGUGGGGCUGCUCUAGUAGGUGCAAUAGUGGAGUAACCAACCGGCGGUGGUGAGCAUGAACUGGAAUAGUAGUUGUUGUAGUCACCCAAUGCAUCCUCCUGUAUUUGUCUCUCAAAGGUACAAGCACGGACAUACAUACCAGUAAUGCAAUGAGGAAUAUACUGAAAUCUUGCCUGAAUAUCAUGGUUCAAACCACCAAAAAAUCUAUUCAUUGUAUCAUCCUUAGAUUCUUCUAUGUCACAAUGAUGCAUAUAAGAUUUGAACUCUUGGUAGUAAGCAUGAACAGUGUUACUGCCUUGUUUUAAUUGCUCCAAUUUGCGAUGCAAUUCACGAUGAUAGUAAGGAGGAAAAAAUUGUUGUCUCAUUACAGCUUUCAAAACUUUCCAAGUUGUGGGUUGGUUAUCAAUGUUUUUCUUACAAUGUACACUCCACCAAACAGAAGCAAAACCAGUAAAUGCUCUAAUGGUAGCUCGUACUCUCUCAAGUUCAGAAAAAUCAUGGUGACUGAAAACUUGUUCUACUUCAAGCUCCCAAGCUAGAUAAAUAGCAGGAUUAAAUCUACCCUCAAAUGAUGGUAAAGAGAUAACCUGACCAUAUGCUUGUGUGUGUUGUCCCAACUCUCGUGAUGGUGAAGAUGUGUCCGUCAUCCAAGAACUUCUAUCUCUGGAACCUGUCAUGAUUAGUAGAAACAAGAACCAAAAUUCGAGAAUAAUGUUCCUAUGAACUACUAGGAUGUGGUUGUAAAGUGCUCACAGUAAAGCAAAUAUCAAUAUCUUACAAGUUCUUACCAUGUGGCAGGUGGUGACAGGCAACCAGCGGUGUCAAAUAACUCCAAAGAUUGUGUAAAACGAUUGCCAGGGGAACGUACGUAUACACGGUGUAGAAAUAUGUGGAGCUGGGUUGGCUAUAUAUGGUAGCAAAAGAUUAGCAAUAAUCAAUUCAAAGAUGCAAUGUUGAAUAAACGCUCAACGACGGUACUGUGCUGGUCCUAGGCUAGACCGUACUAGAGACGCGAGCCUAGAACACUAAUGAGGUCACGGCGUAGCACAACUAGCAUCAAUGAAUGAUACUAAGUAGCUCUUGACAGCAAGAUAUAAGUGAAGAUCACAACGGCAGUGAAGAUAAUGAUGAAAAACAACUGCCAAACAGGAUAUACAACAACUCUCUCUCCAACUUUCCUCUUGAAAAGUUUGAGUCAAUUUUCUGAUAAAUUCUUUCAAAGAAUGCUACUAACUCAAGCUUUCCAAUGCAAAAAGAAUCACUCAAUUCCGAGUUGAUAUGAGGAGUCAAAGAAUUCUAAAACUGGCCUGAGAAAUUGGAACAACCUGUGUUCAUGAACUUCGGAGGGCAAAAAGACCUAUUUAGAAGCCGAUUUUGAGGUGUCAAACAUUGAACAAGCUUCUGCAACUAUUUAGAUGCGGCUCAUCGCUAGCUUCAAUUUGAGUACUCACGGAGCCAAAACGGACUUCGUAUGAGGAAGAUACACCUGUUUUACUGAACAGUGCGCAAAACAGAUUUCAAUCCGAAUUCAGGUACGAGAUUGAUUCUAGAUAGAUCCAAUUUUUUUUCUUCUCUCUUUUUUUUCUCACGCUUUUUUUUUCUUUUUCUUCUCUCUCUUUUUCUUUUUUUUCCUUUUUUCUCUUUUUUUUCUCUAUCUUUUUUUUCCAAGACAAACUAGAUAAGAUGCAGAUUGGAUCAAGCGAAGAUGUGAAUGACCUCAACUAUGAUUAUGACAAUGAACAGUGCGUAGCAUAUGGUGGAAAUUAAUAGAUGGGAUGGUGGACAACGGAAGGGAUAAUGAUGCAGCGGCGGCGUGACUAAUGUGAACAGAACUCGAAACUCUAAAGGAACUAGACGCUAAGACCAGCAACUGACACGACGAUGCAACCGAUAAUUCAACUAUGCAAGCAAUGAAUAGAAAA
rnacentral:lncRNA from 1 species